GACGUAGGGCGCGAGCGUUGUCCGGAUUUAUUGGGCGUAAAGAGCUCGUAGGCGGCUUGUCGCGUCGAAUGUGAAAUCUCAGGGCUCAACUCUGACAUUGCAUUCGAUACGGGCAGGCUAGAGUUCGGUAGGGGAGACUGGAAUUCCUGGUGUAGCGGUGAAAUGCGCAGAUAUCAGGAGGAACACCGGUGGCGAAGGCGGGUCUCUGGGCCGAUACUGACGUGAGGAGCGAAAGCGUGGGGAGCGAACAGG
rnacentral:rRNA from 1 species